CAGCCGCCACGGUAAUACGUAGGUGGCAAGCGUUGUCCGGAAUUAUUGGGCGUAAAGCGCGCGCAGGUGGUUUAAUAAGUCUGAUGUGAAAGCCCACGGCUCAACCGUGGAGGGUCAUUGGAAACUGUUAAACUUGAGUGCAGGAGAGAAAAGUGGAAUUCCUAGUGUAGCGGUGAAAUGCGUAGAGAUUAGGAGGAACACCAGUGGCGAAGGCGGCUUUUUGGCCUGUAACUGACACUGAGGCGCGAAAGCGUGGGGAGCAAACAGGAUUAGAUACCCGUGUAGUCCCUGUCUCUUAUAA
rnacentral:rRNA from 1 species